GACGAACGCUGGCGGCGCGCCUAACACAUGCAAGUCGAACGAGCGAGAGGAGGUUUACUUUCUCAAGCGAGUGGCGAACGGGUGAGUAACGCGUGAGGAACCUGCCUCAAAGAGGGGGACAACAGUUGGAAACGACUGCUAAUACCGCAUAAGCCCACGACCCGGCAUCGGGUAGAGGGAAAAGGAGCAAUCCGCUUUGAGAUGGCCUCGCGUCCGAUUAGCUAGUUGGUGAGGUAAUGGCCCACCAAGGCGACGAUCGGUAGCCGGACUGAGAGGUUGAACGGCCACAAUGGGACUGAGACACGGCCCAGACUCCUACGGGAGGCAGCAGUGGGGAAUAUUGCACAAUGGGGGAAACCCUGAUGCAGCGACGCCGCGUGGAGGAAGAAGGUCUUCGGAUUGUAAACUCCUGUUGUUGAGGAAGAUAAUGACGGUACUCAACAAGGAAGUGACGGCUAACUACGUG
rnacentral:rRNA from 1 species